UUAAGAAGGAUAAUUAAAUUGGCAAGAGUGAGGAGAAGGAGCUCUCUUAUACUCUUCUGCUGGGAAUGGGAAUUGGUAAACAAGGUAAUGCAAAAUGUUAACUAUGCAUUCCCUUUGACACACAAAUUAUACCUCUGGGAAUUUGUGCUAAGGAAAGAAGAUGGAUGUAGCAGGACUGUUACAAUGGUGACAAUUUGGAAAAAACUGAAGCGUCAUCAAUAGGAUAAGGGCACCCUAUUUGUCCUUGCCUUCAUGCCUAGAUUUGGUGGUGCUGGCGACUAAUACCAGGUUUUGCAGACAGAAAAAUCAUCUCACCUCAGACAUGCAGAAUCAGAAUCUCCCAUGAGGGCAUGGAAUCAGCAUUUUGAUAGAUGUCCCAGGCAAUUCUUAUCAUCAGGCAAACUUGGAAGAUGCUGGUAUGUGAGUUGAAUGAAGAAAGAAAUUGAGCUUUCCUAUUUUGAGUCCAGGCUGCCAGUGAGAGAGAAAGGGACAGCAACAAGGUAAGUAAGGUACAGAAGAAAAUAUGUGGCAGAGGCAAGAGAUUCAAUCAAAAGGAAACACCAUGGUGACAAAAGUUACUGGGAAUUUGGAGAAACCUUGAGAAGCAGUUCGGACUUCCAUGGUCUAUAGAUUGGAGAUCUGGAUACAUUUUCUCUAGAAUUUAAAGAUCUGGAAGAUUUCAGCUGUCAGUGGAUUACAUUUAAUUAUGUUGAAAUUUUUAGAGCUAUGUAAUGUUCCAUUGCUUGACUAGAGGAUUAGACUUUGAGACGAUUCUUUGUCUUUUUGGACUCUAAAGAAAAUUCCUAAAUCCUGCUGGAAUUAGGAAUGUUCUGGGUAAAUUCAUAACAUCUAAGGCCCUUAUAGUGUCAGAUUACCCUGAUCUCUUAGGAGAUGGUUUUUGAUACCCAAUAAAAUCUGAGCUAUCCAAAGAAUAAAGUAGGAAAAAGGAAUGGUAUGAACUUUACAGUGGAGAAGUCUGGUAGACACUACAUUACCCUUGUGAUGAAGGUCAGCAUUAUCAGUGAUGUCUUGUGGGUAUCACGUACCCCCAGAUAUGAUGUGUGAUGAGAAAGGCACUACAUCUCUGCAGUAUUCUUUCACAAAACCCAUAACCUCAGUCUAUCAUGAGAAAAACAUCAGACAAGCCCGGACUGGGAGACAUGCCACAGGAUUUGGCCAGUGCUCCUCAAGAUUGUCAAGGUCAUGAGAAACAAGGAAAGACCAAGAAAUUGUCACAAACUAGAGAAAACUAGGGACAUGUGACAACUGAUGCAGUGUGGUACUCUGAGUUGGAUCCUGGAGCAAAGAGUGCGCGUUAAUGAAAAAUGGGAAACCCAAGUAAAGCCUGGAGUUUAGAUAAUACUAAUAGUACUAAUACUAAUACUAAUAAUAUUCAUAUAUGUUAAUAUUUGUUAAUGUAUCCUGUUAAUAGAAUAUGUUAACAAUGGUGGGAGUAAGGAGUAUACAGGAACUCCCUAUACAAUCCGUGCACUUUUCUGUAAAUCUAAAAGUAUUUCCAAAUAAAAACCUUGUUUUAAAAAAAAAUCUGAA